AGACAUAUAAGCGCCCACUUUCUUAUCUCGAAACAAAAACCUUUUCUUUCCCUCUUCUGAAAAUCCCCUAUUCUUUCAAUUUCAGCUCUCUGCUUUCCCUUGACUUUGCUCUUGAUUUUUCGUCCAAGCAGAAGAGGAAACAAGAAAUAAGGGUUUUGUGCUAAGUUUACUUAGAUGAUCAAAAGACUUCAGUUUUAAGCUGAUCAGACAAUUUUUCCUACUUGAAAAGCAAGAAGAUAAGACAUCGGUGCUGUGGAAGGUCCCACAUCAUGCUCCUUUACAAUUAGUGCCUCUGGAUGUCUUGCACAAAAGCUAUAGGGCCAAUUUGGAUUUAGAAAGCUCAGGUCACCUUGCUUGAAUCAAAAGCGGUGUCGUUUAACCUGUAGAUUAAAAGUGGAAGAUUUUUGUACUUUGUUUGGGCUGUGUGUACAAUUCUGAUGGCAAGCAAUACAAGUUUGGACGAGCGAAGAAAACGGACUCUUGAUGCAUUGCAAAGAAGGUUUGCUCAAGAAGAAGCAGAGCAUGAACUUCAGCAAAAGAAGAGCAAGAAAAGGGUCCAGGAGGGAAAGGAUAAAAUCCCGUCUGGCAUUAGUCAUCCCUCUACUGAUGCAUCGGCCAUUGCGGCUCCCUCGAGUUUGUCAGCUAAGAAAGGAAGCAUUUCUUUCUCGUCUCAUACAAGUAAAGAAGAAGCAAGUGAUCCGGCAUACUUUGGACUCUCCAAUAGCGUGCAAGAAAAUUUGCUUAGAGAUGGUGAUGAGAUUUCUGAUAAGCGCUCCAUAGUUGAUUAUCUAUUGCACGACCUUUUUCAACAUGGUGAUGCGGCUGACAAGUACAUGCAAGGAUCUAAAAGCAUAAAAAUUGACAAUUGGAUCCUUCUUGAUAACUUUGUCCAAAAAAGUGGAACAGCUGCUGCUGCACGAGUUCGUGCUCUACAAACACAUUCCAGAAGAUCUAAGAGGCACAUGUCUCUGAAGCAACACAAAAAGUGUGGUUCAUUUCAUUUGCCUCAACAGCUUCGCAACUUUGAACUCUUUAAGCCGAUGCAUGAAAUGUGGAAAAGCUAUAUAAGUCAGCUUCUGAAGCAUGUUGGGAAAAAUCAAUUGGCCCAAUGUCUCCUCAACGCGGAUUUACAUGGUUCUGUCAUUUUAGUUGUUGAAUGCAAAAUAGAAGCCUUACAUGGAGUUCAUGGUAUCAUGAUUUGCGAAACUGCUGAAACAUUUGGAAUAAUUACAGAAGAUAAUAAGUUUCAAGUUGUGCCCAAGAAGCUUUCUGUUUUCAUGCUCCAAGCUGAUAGUUGGAAAAUUACACUUCAUGGAGACAAACUUACUUCAAGACCUCUGGUCCCUUAAUUUGGUUACUCUUAAUUUGUUGUGGUAUGGAUUUUGAAUAAAUUCUUGAAUAAGGAUUGGAGCUGGACUUUUUAUCUUGUAAAUCGUAAUUCACGACAGAAGGAUGCAUCAAGUUGUGGUGUUUAUACAUUGAAAUUUAUACAAUGUUGGGAAAUGGGACGCGCACCCAACAUUACUAAAUCAACUCAUGCUAGGAAGUUUAUGGCCUUGGAGAUUGCAAUGAGUAAACUGGCAGACCCCUUCAAUUAUGCUUCCUUUUUGAAUGAGAAUAAAUUGGGAAAGGAGACUGAGGUCCAAGGAGGUAUGGAUGUAGAAACAGAACAUGUGCAAACUGAAAGGCCACUUGCUAGGAUAACUCGAGCUGCUUCUCGAAAGGCUUCAAAUAGCAAACUCCUAAUUCUGGACCUGAAUGGGGUGAUUUUAGCCAAAAAUUUCAAUGACAGAUAUGACUUUAAAUUCAGGCCAUAUACCCAUGAAUUUUUGAAAUUCUGCUUCUCAUGUUUUAAUGUGGCAAUUUGGUCAUCAAAACAAUGGUAUGUGUCAACCUAUAUUUUAGUUAAUUGAUUUAUAUGUUACACCUUCUUUUUUUUCCCCCUUAUUUUUCUGCAAUUCUUCUUUUUUCCCAGGCAUAAUGUUCAACGUGUAAUAAAAAAUCUGUCACAUUUUAAAUGGGAGUUUGUUUGGGUGAGACUUCAUUUGUCAUUAUCAGAAUUUGUAGAAUCAGUCUCUUAGCAAAAUUUUGCAGAAUCAGUCUCUUAUUUUUGGGUAAUGUUCCAUUGGAUACUGCUGUAUUUUGCAGAAUCAGACUCACUGCACUGUAGUCGAAACCAAAACUAAAGAAAAUUCAGAAAAAAGAUUAUGUUUAAGGAUUUGAGGAAAGUUUGGAAAGAUUUUGAGCAAUAUGGUCUGUCUAACACAUUGUUAGUCGAUGAUUCUCCAUAUAAAUCAUUCUUUAAUCCUAGAUACAAUGCCAUUUUCCCCGAAUCUUAUGCAUUUUUAAGUGAAAAGGAUAAUUAUCUGGAUCCUAAAGGAGAAUUUGCUCAGCACUUGAAGAAAUUGGCUAAAGUUGAUAACGUAGAAGAAUUCAUCAAACAAAAUCCAUUUGGUCAACCGCUCAUAAUACAAGAAAGUGACGAAUGACACUUUUACAUGAAGGCUCUUAAUGAAAGCUGAUUUGCGGAUUGAAAGCUGGGACGAAUGGCAGUGAUGAAAAUAGAGAUUAUUUCAAUGGAUUAUCUAAGGACAGCGGCUGUGAGGGAAGAUAAAGAAGUGAAGGUUCUGGGGAUGAAGGACUUGUUCAAAGUUCAGAUGUUUCAAUGGAGAGAAGCUCUUGGAGAGGAAGUGAAUGGGCAGUGAAGAGAUGAUCAGUCCGAGAGAGAGGAAAUGGUGAAUUACAGGUUUCAUCAUCAGUACCAGGUGGCCGGCAGAGCUUUUACUGAAGUUGGAUUGCUGGAGCCAGCCCAUUUAACACCUGCACAAAUUGGAGAUAUUUCAUCUGCUAGCCAACAUGACGAUGAGCCUGGCUAUAAAUACCAAAAGAACGGGUGACGGAUCCCGGAAUGGCCGGACUAUUAGGCCCCGGUUAAGGACCUAUAUUGCUUUCUUAGAAGUUAUUAAAAAUCUUAUUACAGAAAUUCUUUUUAUUCUUAUAUUGAAGUGGUGUUUAUUUCUCUCAAUAUAAAGGGCUUCUAGUUUCCUUAGAUUUCCAUAGUCAAGAGGAAGGUAAUUUAGAAGACAUCCAGCAGGAUAUCUUAAAUAACCUCUGGAAUAGCAGAAAUAGCACUGAUAAAGUUAGAAAUCUUAAUAUCUUGGCAUUUUAUUUUAACAAUCUUCCGAAACAAAGUUUUUCAUAUUAUGUAGUAGUAAAAGGAAAAACACCUGGAAUCUAUUCUAAAUGGAUUUUCGUUAUAGAAAAAAUAAAUCAUUUUCGUAAUCCUUUAUGGAAAGCAUUUCAUAGCAUACAUGAAGCACUAGAAUUCGCUAGGCAGAAUAUAGGAACAACAUUUUAUGUAGAUCCUAAGGCUAGCAUGGAUAGCAUGAGGGCUCCAGUAUAUCAAAAUACAGAUGCCCCUAGUAGCAGUAGAAAUUAUUAAUAUGCAUUAGAAAAAGAUAACACAAAUAGAAUAGAAUUUUGUAGACAUUGCAAGAGCAUGGAACAAGCUAUUAGAAGCUUAAAUUUAAAGUGUAGAAAUUUUGAAGAAGAAGACUUUUCUCAAAAAGAAAAAAUAAAAUCCUUAACUGAACAACUUAAAGAAAUGUAUAAGAUCUCAAAUUCACAAGGAGAUACUAUUCUCUCACAAAUUUCUGAGAUUGGGGAGCUCAAAGGAAGGCUGUCUUAUACAGCAUCUCAUAUGGCCAGUUCUUCAUCCGGCCCAAUAAAAUAGCCAAUUUUUGUAAAAGAAAAGCUCAUUUCAGAAAGACCUUUUGAAUUUCUUAAAUCCAGAAUAUUUUUUAAACCAUAUCACCUACUUAGUUUCCUCCCUUUACAUAUCCGAGAAAUUAUUAGCCAAAAAGCCCAAGCCCAAUAUUAUUCAAAUGUCAUCAAGAAUUGGAAAAAUCACUUCCAAUGUCAUUAGUCCGAGAAUUCAAAAUCAAAUGGUGGAUAGGAUUCAAUCAAGAAUUUUGUGACCAAAAGAAUAUAUUAAGAUUCCUAGAGACUGGAGAAAAACUCAAAUGAACCAAUCCAAAUCAGCAGUCAACCAAAGGAGUCAAUUUCCCAACUACUCCACAGAAGAAAGAAAAAGAAAAAAGUUGCUCAACAUCAGAAACAACGGCAAAUGAAUUUUUUAUGAAGAAGAUGAUGCAAAAUCCGGAGAUGCUCAAAGAAUAUCUAAAUUAUUUGCAAAAUCAAGACAAGAAAGAAGAAGACAAAAAAGAUGAGUCAGCUGGAUUGUCAUCAGAAUCAACUUUUGAUCCAUUUUGUGGUCCUUGUGCUCAAGACCCGACGGGCUUUUGAUAAAGUUGUCGGCCAAUUUCCAAGAAGAUAAGAUAAGAAUAUCAAAAGAACCAAUCAAAAGAAGAUAAGGUGUCGGUAGAAAAAGCAAAUGAAAUUCAAAUGAAAGUGUCGGCAAUCAAAUGAAGAUGAAAUUCAAAGACGGAAGUCUUUAUAAAUAGAACUCAAAAUCAUUUGUGGGGGACAUCGAGUUUUGAGUCAUCUGAAAAUCUCUCUGUAAACCCCUACCUUCUCAGCUUUUAUAUUUCUUUGUAUGCUCUUUUAUUCAAGAAGAUCAAUAACAAUUCGAAGUUUGAUUUCAUCUCA